GACGAACCGUGCGAACGUUAUUCGGAAUCACUGGGCUUAAAGCGCGUGUAGGCGGGGCGGCACGUCGGUCGCUGAAAUCCCCCGGCUCAACCGGGGAAGUGGCGCCGAUACGACCGUCCUGGAGGGGGUAGGGGGGCCUGGAACUUCCGGUGGAGCGGUGAAAUGCGUUGAGAUCGGAAGGAACGCCCGUGGCGAAAGCGAGGCCCUGGACCCUUACUGACGCUGAGACGCGAAAGCCAGGGGAGCGAACGGG
rnacentral:rRNA from 1 species